UUCGAAAAUAAAUAACAUUUUUAUCAUCAUAUACACAUUUCUCUAAAUUUCACAAAUUUUUCGAAAACUAAUAUUCAAAAUUUCCUUUUAUCCUUGAUCAUGAUGAUUGGAACCUAUAGAAAAUGGAUUCUCUUGACUUGCCUAUUAGUCCUAAUUGACACGAGUCGAGUCUGGACGGUCCCUAUGCCUGCUCUUAAUGACUACAAUUUGAUAACAAAUUCGGAUUCUUUAACGAGCAGGCACACUGAGCCGUCUUUGCCAUUUCGUCAAAAAGCAUAUGAAUUUUACCACGGAAGCUCUUCAGACAACCCUAGAAUAAUUUCACCGGGGGGUUUUCCGCAAACAACACAAUGCUACGGCGCAAAAUCAGGAAGUGGACGCCUAACGUAUCCUUUGCAAGGAAUUCUACACAAAUUUUUGCAUUAAAAAUUAUUUGUAAGCCUGUACUUGCAAACUAUUCAAAAAAAGAUUUGUAUUUUACUUUAAAUAAAAAAAUAAUCAUUAAAUCCAAA